rnacentral:misc_RNA from 1 species
CUCACCCAUGCAUUCUGGGUUGGAAUCAUGCCAUGGCUAUUGCCGAGGAAGAUCUUCGCAAGGCACUGGUAGUCUCGGUGAUCAGCAACCAUGACUCGGUCUCUGAAUUGGAAGUGGCAUCUAUGCUUUCGCCAAGGUUGGAGACCACUGAAGACUCCCUUGUUCUCCAUCGUCUAUCCCCGAGUAGUUUCCUUCUCGUUCUCCCGUCUGAGGAUUUGGCACAAAGGCUUGAUAUGAGGUGGUCCAUUCAGCGGGUUGCGACUUUCAUAGUGGUCUGCAAGCGUUGGUCUAGAUUUCUCAACUCUUCUGGUGGAAUUCUUCCUCAGCUGAUUGACUUGGAAUUAGAGGGCAUCCCAGUGCACAUGUGGGAGCGGUGGAACACUUGAUAAACCCGUUUGCAUGGCUGUUCAGGGUGCACUCAGAUACCUCUGGCCUAAGUGACCUUGUUUCUUUCAGAUGCUCUGCUUGGUGCAUUGAUACA